rnacentral:rRNA from 1 species
UACGUAGGGUGCAAGCGUUGUCCGGAAUUAUUGGGCGUAAAGAGCUCGUAGGCGGUCUGUCGCGUCUGCUGUGAAAACUCAGGGCUUAACCCUGAGCUUGCAGUGGGUACGGGCAGACUAGAGUGCGGUAGGGGAGACUGGAAUUCCUGGUGUAGCGGUGAAAUGCGCAGAUAUCAGGAGGAACACCGGUGGCGAAGGCGGGUCUCUGGGCUGUAACUGACGGCUGAGGAGCGAAAGUGUCGGGGAGCGAACAGG